rnacentral:hammerhead_ribozyme from 1 species
AUCCUGAUGACGAGUCCCAAAUAGGACGAAAUGUGCGUAAAACUAGAU